GACGCCAAUUGGUCGUACUAGGGAAGAAAUGCGAGCUUGUCCGGAUACAUUUUUCGGUUUCGUGAAACAAUUUUUUUCUAUAAAGCAAAGUGCUGGAAUGCCGUUGAUUAAAACCGUAAUAAAUCUGCCGCAUCGAGAAUGAGACAAACCAUGCGUAGAGAGAUUGUUGGCGCAGAGUGAAAAGCAUAAAAGAUAAAAUGGAGAUAUUUGCGAAAAUGAAUACUUCAAAACCUACUCCAUUCCCACUGCACGAUGGCAGUGCCUAUAUGAUGAAAACAUUAAAAGGAGCUGUAUUUUGUGAACAUUUGAAUACUCCAGAAAGAAUGCAUAGUGUGGUAUGUUGUGUACAGUUAAUCUGUUUGAACAUAAUGCUAAAUAAGUCUUCUGAUUAAUUGGAAUGUAUUUAAGUGAUGUUUGUGAGGAAACAAAGAUGAAAAGGAGCUAACAAAGUGUCGUGAGCUACUUUUGGUCAGUCUCAAAGUUUAAGCUUCUUCUGUUACUAAGUAAGUAUGCAUGUUUUGCAUGGUUUUGAAGAUGAAAACAACUGUUGAUGGGAGUUUUUUAGCAAUCGAUCGUUUCAAGUAUGGUGAGUAUCCUCCUCCCGAUUGCUACUAUUUGUCAUGUGAGACGAAUUGCUGCAUUUGUUUUCGAAGCAGUUAUGUCCGCAUAUACAUAUUACAAUUUAAUUAUUUACUGUCACUUUAAAUUCAUAUACCAUGAAAUGAAGUACUUGUACUUGAAGAAACGUCGUAAUUAGUUUGUAAAAUGUAUUUAACUCUAGAAUACGCUGCUUUGGAGCAGUAGAUCUGAUCGCUCUUUUCCAAGCCGCUAUCGCGUCAGUUUUGAAUUUUUUCUGAUCUGUAAAAGGUUGUUGUGUAGUACAUUAACAUAUUUUAUUUAAUUUAUCCCUCCAAGUUGGCCUGUAUAUGCGGAUUUUUUAAAUUUAAAACUAACCCGCUCUAAGAUAAUCACAAUUACUAUCCAUAUCUGUCAUAACUAAAACGGGAAAAAUUUCUUGGAAGUGCACUUACUUUACGAACCGAUGAACUGAAGUCCACUAGGUUUCCUAAACCAUUAUAUGUUUUAUGUUCUUUCGCAUAACUGCUGCUUUUAGUGGGCACACAUAAUUAUCUUCUAUUUGCAAACUAUAUUUCUUUGACGAACACGUACACAUUAAAACUCCGAUUUUUUACCUUAAACUAAACGGUACAAACUGCCUUACGCAAACGGACGUCACGCGCGGCUCGUCCGUGCCCGAUACGAUCGCGCUUCCCGGUCGAAGUGUCCGACCGUCGAAUGAUACACAUUGUCCUCGAUGGAUAGCAGGCACCCACAUCAGCUGAAAACAGUAAGUUAUCAGUAAGUGGCCAGUUCUUCGGGAUCCAACACAAGGCUCCGGACCUAAGGUCUCGCGUUAUGGCAUACACAUCUAACGUAUCCAGUAAGACAAGGCAAUGUAUAUAAAUGCAAAUUAGCUUGUGCUCAUAUAUACAUUGGGUGUAACUACUAUUGGCCAGUGUCUCCAAACCAAACAGAAGAGAACUUGUCUGUUAGGGGGGAUAAGACUAAUACUUAGACCAUUGUGAACGAUUGUAAACCUCACGAGUUUCACUUUCACUACUCACAGGACGAAACGUUGUCAAUGUAGACACAUUUUAAGUUCAUCAGCGUAGAGUAAAAUCCUGGAGCCUGCAAUACUGAUCCGCUGGGCAAUACUGUUGAGUCAAAUAUUAAAUAGAGCUCCUGAGUAGUCGGUAAAAGCAGGACAGAAUUCAGCUCCGAAAUUCACAAAAAUCUGGCUUUCCGUAAGGAAAGCGUUUUUUUACGGAAAGGAAAAAAUUUAUCACCGCAUUUUGAACAGGCCAACUUAUUUUUGCAGUCAUUGGUAAUAUGUCCACUUAUUAGAUAUCUUAAUUUUUUGCAAUUUCUAAUCCAGAUUAUGGCUAUUAAGCAAAUUUCAAAUUGAGACAUUUUUUUAACAAUGCUUGCUUC